GUCAUUGGAUACGAAGUGAAUGGGUCAAAUGGGCUUGUCUAAGCUCCGACCCAGGAAAGUCCCCGGGCCACUAUUCCGCAGAGGUGCGGCCUCGGUAACGAGAGAAUCUUGCGGUUGGAGAGACACAUUCGGGCUGAGACGCGUGUGUGGAGGAGCUUAUGUGGUCUCUCCUCCGAACGAUACCAUGGCCGUUGUGUUAACACAACCGUUAUUCACUGGAGUCCUUAACAGGAUUUAACAGAACGGGGCUUACGUUUUCCAAUGG
rfam:Brassica oleracea var. oleracea cultivar TO1000 chromosome C4, whole genome shotgun sequence